GCAUACAGAGGAGCGUUACACGAGUUAUUUCUAAUAAUUUUCUUAUUAAACCUUAAGCAUCGAAUAUCAAGAUCGAUACGACGAAUGAUAAAUGUAACUUUGAACACGGAUGUGAGACUU